rnacentral:rRNA from 1 species
CCUACGGGUGGCAGCAGUGGGGAAUCUUCGACAAUGGGGGAAACCCUGAUCCAGCGACGCCGCGUGAGUGAAGAAGUAUUUCGGUACGUAAAGCUCUAUCAGCAGGAAAGAAAAUGACGGUACCUGACUAAGAAGCUCCGGCUAACUACGUGCCAGCAGCCGCGGUAAUACGUAGGGGGCAAGCGUUAUCCGGAUUUAAUGGGUGAAAAGGGAGCGUAGACGGCAGCGCAAGUCUGGAGUGAAAUGCCGGGGCCCAACCCCGGAAGUGCACUGGAAACUGGAAAGCUGGAGUGCAGGAGAGGAAAGCGGAAUUCCGGGUGUAGCGGUGAAAUGCGUAGAGAUCGGGAGGAACACCAGCGGCGAAGGCGGCUUACUGGACUGUAACUGACGUUGAGGCGCGAAGGCGUGGGGAGCAAACAGGAUUAGAUACCCGAGUAGUC